AUACGUAGGGGACGAGCGUUGUCCGGAAUUACUGGGCGUAAAGGGCGCGCAGGCGGAUAUUUAAGUCAGCUGUAAAAGGCAUGAGCUCAACUCAUGUAUGCGGUUGAAACUGGGUAUCUAGAGUGCUGGAGAGGUAGGCGGAAUUCCCGGUGAAGCGGUGAAAUGCGUAGAUAUCGGGAAGAACACCAGUGGCGAAGGCGGCUUACUGGCCAGCAACUGACGCUGAGGCGCGAAAGCCAGGGGAGCGAACGGGAUUAGAUACCCCGGUAGUCCUGGCCGUAAACGAUGAAUGCUAGGUGUGGGUGUCGAGAGGCAUCCGUGCCGGAGUUAACGCGAUAAGCAUUCCGCCUGGGGAGUACGAUCGCAAGAUUGAAACUCAAAUGAAUUGACGGGG
rnacentral:rRNA from 1 species